AUUGAACGCUGGCGGCAUGCCUAACACAUGCAAGUCGAACGAGUGGCCGACGGGUGAGUAAUGUCUGGGAAACUGCCUGAUGGAGGGGGAUAACUACUGGAAACGGUAGCAAAUACCGCAUACCAUCGGAUGUGCCCAGAUGGGAUUAGCUAUUAGGUGGGGGAACGGCUCACCUAGGCGACGAUCACUAGCUGGUCUGAGAGGAUGACCAGCCACGCUGGGACUGAGACACGGUCCAGAUUCCUACGUGAGGAAGCAGUGGGGAAUAUUGCACAAUGGGCGCAAGCCUGAUGCAGCCAUGCCGCGUGUAUGAAGAAGGCCUUCGGGUUGUAAAGUACUUUCAGCGGUGAGGCGUUACCCGCAGGGUAAGCACCGGCUAACUCCGUGCCAGCAGCCGCGGUAAUAC
rnacentral:rRNA from 1 species